UUCGUUGUUUUUGAAGCCUGAC
rnacentral:miRNA from 1 species